CACAGAGGAGGCUGGGUUCCUUUGUAUGUUGUCUUUAAGUCGGUUUUCUUUUGUGAGUCUAUGAAACACGGCCUGAUUCUCAGUUGGUUCUUCCAGCAAUUUUGUUGCUACAAAUCCAAGAGUACGAAGGCUGUUCACACCACUGGAGCAGGAAAGACUCACCUAACUUUGCCAGCCUAGGACUUCAGGGGGCUUACCUUUCAUUCGUCUGCAUGGGGAAAACGACGACGAGUGGCCUUUGGGAAAUGGCACAGCCCAGCUGCAGGAGGCCGGAACCAGCCGUUGGCUUGGGCACCGAAGAGAAGAGAUGUCUGGCCACAAGGGUGCCCCCUCUCACUCCAGAUGUUGCUCAGCGGGCCUGGGGGAAGAAGGGAGCCGUGUGAUGCAGACAGAGAGCUCAGGGCAAGAGACGAAGGCCACACUCCAGGGCUGGAAGGGGCAGGGCCCCACCAUUUCUCCCCAAGGUGCCACAGGGCUGGAUCAGGUAAGGCCCGCCGGGCCCCGCUGGGACCUCAUCGGUUGGGACUUUUCGCUGGCUGCGGAAGUGCACCACAGACCCAGGCAGCUUCGUGGCCUGGGGACCUGCCUAACCGCUCUGGGUGAUGUGACAAGGAGUUCUGGUCCCCUCCCAGGUCCCACCUGCCCAGGGAGCUGCAGCGAGCAGCUGAAUGGUGUGGCUCCACCCUGAGCCCACAGGGAGGCUUACCUGGCAGACACAUACCCCAGCCUGUUUUCCAGGGGGGCAGGGCCACUGCUGAGGAACGGGAUGCCAGCUGGAAAAGUGGGAGGAAAGCGUUCAGAAAUGGGCAGCGGUUCAUCUGAGCCAGCCCCCUCCUGCCUUCCCCGAGAAACUGCAAAGGCACUGCCCCCCAGACAAAAACAGGAGAAGCUUCUGUGGUUGGAGGUGAGAGACAGAGGAUGGCCAGGAUGGUCCUAUUUAUUUUAUUUCUAAAACUGAAAUUAUUUUCAAUUUGGGCUGGGAUAAGGAGACGAACUUUUUCCUUCAAAUAACUGUUUUUAUGGCUUUUCACAUUCCUUAGCAGGGUUAUGAGACCAGGGGAGGCCACAUACAGCCAAGGGGUCAUGAACCCUGGAGUCACAGAGACAUGGGGUCAAAACCCAGUCUGUUGCUCACUCCCUGGGUACCCUGGAGCAUAUUUUCAAUACUUAACCUCUGAGUCUCAGUUUCCCUAUCUGUAAAAUGGGAAUAAAUAUUAUAACCUCAGAGGAUUAAUAUAAGGAUUAAAUGAAAA